rnacentral:rRNA from 1 species
CAGUAGCCGCGGUAAGACAGAGGAUGCAAGCGUUAUCCGGAAUGAUUGGGCGUAAAGCGCACGCAGGCGGUCUGACAAGUCAGAUGUGAAAUCCCCGGGCUUAACCUGGGAACUGCAUUUGAAACUGUCAGGCUGGAGUCUUGUAGAGGGGGGUAGAAUUUCAGGUGUAGCGGUGAAAUGCGUAGAGAUCUGGAGGAAUACCGGUGGCGAAGGCGGCCCCCUGGACAAAGACUGACGCUCAGGUGCGAAAGCGUGGGGAGCAAACAGGAUUAGAUACCCCUGUAGUCCCUGUCUCUUAUAC